CGGGGAGAGCGAGACCCGCGCCUCGGGCUCCAGGGAGGGAAAGAAAGCUACAGAAAGCCGGAGCGGGGCUGCACUUCACGCUGAAGUUUCCCCUUUGAAUCGUCUGGAGUUAUGGCCCCUAAAACCAAGCAGAUGACUUCAUCUGGUGUUCAACCAAAAGAAAAUGAUCUGUUCCAAGACUGAAGGAAAAAUUGGCAGUGUUGAACUUAUUAAGAAGCAGUAUGACUGCAGAUUCUACUUUAGGGACAAUAUAAGGCAUUUUCAAGAGGAAAGCUGAAUAUAUGGAAUUUUCUUCUUAAAUAGUGACUUGAAUACUUAACCACCACAGAAGAUGCAACUCCAUGACAAUCUGGCAACAGAGAAUUUACCUUUUUGGAUUCACUGGAAACGGUUUUAGCCAACAAGCUCUGACAGAGACAUAAUCUUAAUGUACCUGAACUCUAGAAAGCCAUGGUGAAAGCCAGGAAUUUGGACUGCAUUGUAAAAAGUAGCUACAGGAAGCUGAACCGUGUUUGCCAGUUAGGUGUGGCCAUGCAGCUGAGUCCUGAGCAGAAGGUGAGCAGAAGUGACAAGCAUCGCUUCAGGGCCCGGCUCCCAAAACCACCGGCGUGCGACUCUCCAUGCCCUUUGCCUUCUGGCCUGGUGCAAAUGGCCAGGCACCCUUGGAAGCCAUGUGGUACAGAUGGUGAGGCCGUAAGAUGGACGAUGCCUGAGUCUCUGAAUUAUCUCUGGCAGCAGGGCUGGCUGCCCAUCUCAGGCACCCUGCUUCGACUUCAUGUGAUUAGGAAAGGGAAAUUCCUUUGGUGUUUGAGUCACGGCAUAUUUUUUAUUUGUUUCUCAGAACAGUUAGUAUGACCUUAACUGUUACAACAGAUUUAAACCUAAUAAAAGAUGCUAAUAAUUAC